UUUUUUUUUUUUUUUUUUUGCCAACUAGAGAGGGAUCUGUACCAUGGCUGCCACAGGAUAAGAAAACAAUCGAGAGCUAAGCUAAAGAAAAGUUAAUCUGGCUAUUUCAUGUAGACCCAGGAAAUUAUUGGAAUUUAUCCUUCCUUUCCCCUCUUUUUAAAGUAUAAAACUUCUUAUUUGCCUCACUAUUGUUCAGUGUCUUUUGCAUAGAUUCUUAAAUGCUUCUGGGCAGUCAUUGUGCUGCCAGAUGAUUCUGCAAAUGAUUUAAGCAAAAGCAGAAUAAAAUCUCACUGAUCAACUCUCAAAACUAGAUGUCCAUAAACAAACAAAGGCUUAUCUCCAAGAAUUCUUCACCUGUGGUGAAGACCUGACCAAUGGCUGAUAAUCUCUCAUGCAGUUUUGCCUAAAUGAAGACCAAAAGGGAAGCAGAAUAAAACAGUUACUGCAAACUUAGGAAAAAACUGAUUGUUCUGUAACCAUGGCAACAAGUAGUCCCCAAACCGGUUUUAAAGCUGUUCACUCAAUCAACACAAGAUUACAUCAGUGAAUAGACUUUGGCAAGCCAGUCUAUAAAUAUAUUUAAAUAUAUAUAUUUAAGACAUUCCAACAUACUGAUCCAUAACCCUUAUUAACUACUUGCUUCUGAAUUUGAUUUCUUUUGUGAGAAAGUAAAAGUUGCCUGAAUUUUUUUUCACAGAAAUAAAAACUUUCCUCACAGGUUAUGGGGCAGUUUGGCUCAUCUCCCCAUUACCCCAAUCCCUUCACGAGCUUCUACAACUUUAUCUGGGAUUAUAGUUCCAUGAUCUUAUUAUACAAUUGGAAACAUCUUACCUUGAAAAGAGACUUUGACACUUGUGUUCUAUGGUGUUGUAUAUUUAUGAUAGCCAUUAAUAACUUAAAUGUAUUUAGUCUCCUCCAGGGCUUGUCUCUUACCCUCUUACAUACUCUGACUUGGCCAUUCGUUCUUUUUAUUCGGCCAUACCUUUAGUAUGUGGAAGCUCCCAGGCCAGGGAUAGAACCUGUGCCACAGCAGCAACCUGAGCCUCAGCAGUGACAACUGCUGGAUCCUUAAACCACCGAGCUACCUGGGAACUCUGUGCCUUGGCCAUUCCUGACUUACAGACAUCUUUUAGAUGCAACUGGUCUAUUUCUUCUGGUCGCCUGAGGGGGUUUAUUUUCUAAGUCCUUCCUUAUCUGAAUAUGUCCCUGUUGUUUUUGUUUUGUGGACGGCCUGACUUGAUAUCUAACUCUUUGAUCAAAAAUUUGCUCCUAUUUGUUUUGAGAAGGAGAAGGCUGAGAAGAGCCUGAUUUUGCUUCCUUUGUAAGCUGCCAGACACAAUGCUCUCAGGAUUCCUCUUUGUCCAGGGAAAGGGGAGCAAGCAGCACAGAGGGAGGCAUGUGGGUACUGCCAUGAGGGUGCCCUGGACAGAGGGUGCAUGUGGAGGACAGGACAUUCCUGGGAACUCAGGCAGGACACUGCCUCCCAGGUGGACAGCAGAUGGGGCACUUCACAUCACAGAGAAGUCAGCCUCACGGUUUCUGCAGGCAGGCACAGCUGGAGCGCCUGCAAAGUGAGUGGAAACUGGGAUUCCUAGAGGUCUGUGGGCCAGGCUGGGGGUGGUCAGAAGGUGACUGACAUGUGACCCUUGGGCAAGGGGUGAGGGUACCUGCAGAAGGCUGGGGGAUCUGCAAGAUCCAAGCAGCCAUCGAGAACCUAGGGUCCUGAGAAGCCCAGAGAAAGCGAACCUUGCGUUCUUUGGCCCCUAACUUCAGCCAUAUCCCCUGUAGGGUAAGAACAACCAAGCAGACGGAGGCCAUCACUCCAGAGCCUAAAGGGGUGACAGGAAACAAGGUGGAUCCCCAAAGUCCCUCUCAGCCAUCUCAGCCUCAGCCGUGGGAACAGAGGAAGCCCCUGAUGAGGUAGCAGGUGGAGGGGUGGGCUGAGGAGGGAUCUGAAAAGAAUCUGUUCCAAACUAACUGAAUUAAAACUAAAAAAGACUGUUCAACUUAGUGAAUCAGAUUCGCAUUUUCACCAGAUUGGACUAAAUUUACUACGCAGUGAAUUGUAAGAAAGGGAAGAUAAUUUUAAAGAAAUAAAUGAGCUAUAUUUUCUUUGUAAAAACAACAUCAAAAGGCAAGUUCCUCUGUAUCUGAGUGUGCUUUUUUCAUUCAUUUUUCCUAGGGCUCAGAUCAUUCUUUGGCUUGUAAAUUCCUAAAAUGAGAUAUGAGGGCUGUGAAUCCCUAGGAUGGUCACUUCUGCACACACAUCCUUCCUUUUCGUUGUCUGUCCUUUAAAGUGAUGAUCUCUAAAAGUUCCUUUUUAUUUCAUUGUUUUCUUCCAUGUGCUGGUUGAGUAUUCCACAUUCGUCUUCCAUCAUUGAUUUGAUUUUCUGCAGUGUCAAGUCUUUACUUUGUUGUCUCUAAAAUUCAUUUUAAUUAUGCUAUUUUUGACCAUUUUAAAGGAAAAUUUCCAAAACAUUUAAAAACAUACAUAGCAGAGUCGUGUGUAUUGGCUUACGCACUGGUGGCUUAGGCAGGGUGGUGAGCCUGUUGCAUCUCUCACCAGGAAGGAGCUUGUGCUUGAGCUGGAGAAGAGGUGCGUUUCCAGCUGAAGUGCCCUGGGGACCUGCCCCAGCAUCCAUGCCAGCAUCCCCCUGCUCCAGGGAAGCCUCCAGCCCAUGCGUGAGUGCAGCAGGGGCGAGGGCCCAGUAGGGGAGCUCUGGAGUGGAAGCUGACCCCCUGGGCUGGCCUAGUCCCUCCCAGGGUCCGGGUGUGUAGCACAGCCUGUAGCCUUUCCCUGAUGUGUGCUGCUUCCUCCCCCUUGAUCUUUCACAGGCAUUACCCCCAAGAAACUUCUGUCCUCCAGCUCCUCCUCUGCAUCCGCAUUUGUACCUCCUGCCACUCAUCUGCAACAAUUCAGACUCCAUUCUCUAAUUUUCAGUUCUUUGCUGAGGUAUUUAAAAUCCAUCCGAGGCAUCCUGCCAUUUCACCUCUUUGUACUUUGUUUUACAUCUCUUAAAGCUAUGAAAAUGUCUUAUUUGUUCAUAAGGCACACGGAACUACAUUAACAAUGGUUUCUUAGUAUCAUCUGAUAUAUUUCGCAUAAUCAAAAUUUCCCAGUUAUCUAAAAAGUUUUGUGAACUAAAUAAAGCCUACAUAUUAUAUUUUUAUGUACCCAGUGGUUUAAAAUCUGUGUUAAGACUUCAGGAGCUCACUUAAAAUCUCUUCUUCAUGACUUUUUUUCAUUUAGGUUUCUUGCUUUUACAAGAAAUAUAGGUUCUACAUGACCUAUAUUUUCCUGUAAUUUUUGGAGGACACUAAUCAGAUUUCUAUAAUUUUCUUUUUCUUUUUUUUUUUUUUUUUUAAAGAAAAUGAGGAGUUCCUGUCAUGGCACAGUGGUUAAUGAAUCCGACUGGGAACCAUGAGGUUGCGGGUUUGAUCCCUGGCCUUGCUCAGUGGGUUAAGGAUCCGGUGUUGCCGUGAGCUGUGGUGUAGGUUGAAGACGCGGCUCGAAUCCCUCAUUGUUGUGGCUCUGGCGUAGGCCGGUGGCUACAGCUCUGAUUGGACCCCUAGCCUGGGAACCUCCAUAUGCCAUGGGAGC
ensembl:lncRNA